rfam:Myotis brandtii contig250314, whole genome shotgun sequence.
GGCAGUUCUCAGGUGACACACCCCAGAAUUGGGCUCCCUCCUCUCUGGUUCUGGGGUGUGUCACCCGAGAACCACC